rnacentral:rRNA from 1 species
AACGAACGCUGGCGGCAUGCCUAACACAUGCAAGUCGAACGAGACCUCCGGGUCUUGUGGCGCACGGCUGCGUAACGCGUGGGAACCUGCCCUUAGGUUCGGAAUACCUCCCCGACAGGGGUGCUAAUACCGGAUAAUGUCUUCGGACCAAAGAUUUAUUGCCUUUGGAUGGGCGCUCGUUGGAUUCGCUAGUUGGUAGGGUAAUAGCAUACUAAGGCGACGAUCCAUAGCUGGUUUGAGAGAAGGAUCAGCCACACUGGGACUCAGACACGGCCCAGACUCCUACGGGAGGCAGGAGAGGGGAAUAGAGGACAAUGGGGGAAGGCAUGAUCCAGCAAUGCCGGGAAAGUUAUGAAGGCCGUGGGGUUGUAAUGCUCAUUUACCCGGGAUGAUAAUGACAGUACCGGGAGAAUAAGCUCCGGCUAACUCCGUG